GUAUGCAGUUUGUGGUAAAGCCACCAAUUCAAAUUUCUACAAAAAUAAACGAAUGCACAGUACUAACAAUGAACACUGUCCAUAUUUAACGAGGACAAACGAGAUGAUUUGUCCUAUUGUUAUCAGAAAUAUCUGUAUACUUAUCUCUUUUAUGGUGGUAACGUUUUCUUGUCAUUAUCUAAAUGUGUUGACAGUAUAUAUCUCAAUAGUUAUCAAAGGUACCAGUCUUAUACACUAGACGCGCGUAUCGUCUACAUAAGAGUCAUCAGUGACACUCAGAUGAAGAUAAUAAGAAGGCCAAACAAGUAUGAAGUUGAAGAGCAAAACGUUGUGACAAAUACGGCUAAGGUAAU
rnacentral:lncRNA from 1 species